rnacentral:rRNA from 1 species
AUUGAACGCUGGCGGAAUGCUUUACACAUGCAAGUCGAACGGUAGAGGGGGCAACCCCUCGAGAGUGGCGAACGGGUGAGUAAUAUAUCAGAACGUGCCCAGUCGUGGGGGAUAACGUAGCGAAAGUUACGCUAAUACCGCAUACGAUCUAAGGAUGAAAGCGGGGGAUCGCAAGAACUCGCGCGAUUGGAGCGGCCGAUAUCAGAAUAGGUAGUUGGUGGGGUAAAGGCUCACCAAGCCAACGAUCUGUAGGUGGUCUGAGAGGACGACCAGCCACACUGGAACUGAGACACGGUCCAGACUCCUACGGGAGGCAGCAGUGGGGAAUUUUGGACAAUGGACGCAAGUCUGAUCCAGCCAUUCCGCGUGCAGGAUGAAGGCCCUCGGGUUGUAAACUGCUUUUGUACGGAACGAAAAGGUCUCUCUUAAUACGGGGGACUCAUGACGGUACCGUAAGAAUAAGCACCGGCUAACUACGUGCCAGCAGCCGCCGUAACAC